CUUCACCUACGGGGAGCAGCAGUAGGGAAUCUUCCACAAUGGGGGAAACCCUGAUGCAGCAACGCCGCGUGAGUGAAGAAGUAUUUCGGUAUGUAAAGCUCUAUCAGCAGGGAAGAAGAUGACGGUACCUGAAUAAGAAGCCCCGGCUAACUACGUGCCAGCAGCCGCGGUAAUACGUAGGGGGCAAGCGUUAUCCGGAUUUACUGGGUGUAAAGGGAGCGCAGACGGCAGUGCAAGUCUGGAGUGAAAGCCCGGGGCCCAACCCCGGAACUGCUCUGGAAACUGUGCGGCUAGAGUACUGGAGG
rnacentral:rRNA from 1 species